GCCACCAUGAUCGCCGCGCAGCUCCUGGCCUAUUACUUCACCGAGCUGAAGGAUGACCAAGUCAAAAAGAUUGACAAGUAUCUCUAUACCAUGCGGCUCUCGGAUGAAACUUUGUUGGAUAUCAUGGCUCGCUUCAGGAAGGAGAUGAAGAAUGGCCUCUCCCGGGAUUUUAAUCCAACAGCCACAAUCAAGAUGCUGCCAACAUUUGUGAGGUCGAUUCCUGAUGGUUCAGAAAAGGGAGACUUCAUUGCCUUGGAUCUUGGUGGAUCUUUCUUCUGGAUCCUGCGAGUGCAAGUGAAUCAUGAUCAACAUCAGAGUGUUCAUAUGGAAUCAGAGGUGUAUGAUACUCCUGAGAACAUCAUACAUGGCAGUGGAAGCCAGCUUUUUUAUCAUGUUGCUGAGUGUUUUGGUGACUUCAUGGAGAAGAAGAAAAUCAAGGACAAGAAAUUGCCUGUGGGAUUCACCUUUUCCUUCCCUUGCCGACAAUCCAAAAUUGAUGAGGCUGUUCUGAUCACCUGGACAAAGAGAUUUAAAGCGAGUGGAGUAGAGGGAGCAGAUGUAGUGAAGUUACUCAACAAAGCCAUCAAGAAAUGAGGGGACUAUGAUGCCAACAUUGUGGCUGUGGUGAAUGACACAGUAGGGACCAUGAUGACCUGUGGUUAUGAUGACCAGCACUGUGAAGUCGGCCUGAUUAUUGGCACUGGCACCAAUGCUUGCCACAUGGAGGAACUGAGGCACAUUGACCUGGUGGAAGGCGACGAGGGGAGGAUGUGCAUCAACACAGAGUGGGGGGCCUUCGGAGACAACGGGGCUUUGGAGGACAUCCGCACGGAGUUUGACCGAGAGAUAGACCGGGGCUCCCUCAACCCUGGGAAGCAACUGUUCGAGAAGAUGGUCAGUGGCAUGUACAUGGGGGAGCUGGUUCGACUGGUCCUGGUCAAGAUGGCCAAGGAGGGGCUCCUAUUUGAGGGGCGGAUCACCCCGGAGCUGCUCACCAAAGGGAAGAUCAACACCGCUGACGUGUCAGCCAUCGAAAAGAACAAGGAAGGCCUCCACAAUGCCAAAGAAAUCCUGACCCGGCUGGGAGUGGAGCCAUCAAACGAUGACUGCAUCGCAGUCCAGCAUGUGUGCACCAUUGUCUCCUUCCGCUCAGCCAACCUGGUGGCAGCAACACUGGGUGCAAUCUUGAACCGCCUCCGUGAUAACAAAGGCACGCCCAGGCUGCGGACCACGGUUGGUGUCGACGGGUCUCUUUACAAGAUGCACCCACAAUAUUCCCGGCGUUUCCACAAGACCCUGAGGCGCCUGGUGCCCGACUCAGACGUGCGUUUCCUGCUGUCGGAGAGUGGCAGUGGCAAGGGGGCUGCCAUGGUGACUGCGGUGGCUUUACCGCCUGGCUGAGCAGCACCGGCAGAUCGAGGAGACGCUGGCCCACUUCUGCCUCGCCAAGGAGAAGCUGCUGGAGGUGAAGAUGCGCCUGCGGACAGAGAUGGAGAAUGGGCUGAGGAAGGCGACAAACGAAAAGGCCACUGUCAAGAUGCUGCCCUCGUUUGUCCGGAGCACUCCCGAUGGGUCUGAGCACGGUGACUUCUUGGCCCUUGAUCUUGGAGGAACAAAUUUCCGUGUCCUGCUGGUGAAAAUUCGCAGUGGGAAAAAGAGAACAGUGGAAAUGCACAACAAGAUCUAUGCCAUUCCCACCGAGAUCAUGCAGGGCACCGGGGAAGAGCUGUUUGACCACAUCGUCACCUGUAUCUCGGACUUCCUGGACUACAUGGGGAUUAAAGGCCCUAAAAUGCCUCUGGGUUUCACGUUCUCCUUUCCCUGCAAGCAGACAAGCUUGGAUGCGGGCAUCUUGGUCACCUGGACAAAGGGUUUUAAAGCAAGUGACUGUGUGGGGCAUGAUGUAGCCACUUUACUAAGGGACGCAGUGAAAAGGAGAGAGGAGUUUGACCUGGAUGUGGUAGCUGUCGUCAACGACACGGUGGACACCAUGAUGACCUGUGCUUAUGAGGAGCCCAGCUGUGAGGUCGGACUCAUUGAAGGCACCGGCAGCAAUGCCUGUUACAUGGAAGAAAUGAAGAAUAUUGAGAUGCUGGAGGGCAACAGCGGGCAAAUGUGCAUCAACAUGGAAUGGGGUGCCUUUGGAGACAAUGGCUGUCUGGAUGACAUCAGAACGAUCUAUGACAAAACAGUGGAUGAUUUUUCUCUAAAUGCUGGGAAACAGAGGUUUGAGAAGAUGAUCAGUGGUAUGUACCUGGGAGAGAUUGUCCGCAACCUCUUAAUCGAUUUCACCAAGAAAGGAUUUCUCUUCCGAGGGCAGAUCUCUGAGACCCUGAAAACAAGGGGCAUCUUCGAGACCAAGUAUCUUUCUCAGAUCGAGAGUGACCGGUUAGCGCUGCUGCAGGUCCGAGCCAUCCUCCAGCAGCUGGGGCUGAACAGCACGUGCGAUGACAGUAUCCUCGUGAAAACUGUGUGCGGGGUGGUGUCCAGGCGGGCCGCGCAGCUGUGCGGUGCGGGCAUGGCUGCCGUGGUGGACAAGAUCCGCGAGAACAGGGGACUGGACCGUCUGAAUGGGACAGUGGGUGUGGACGGCACGCUCUUCAAACUUCAUCCACACUUCUCCAGAAGCAUGCACCAAACCGUGAAGGAACUAUCACCAAAGUGUAACGUGUCUUUCCUGCUGUCAGAAGAUGGUAGCGGCAAGGGGGCUGCCCUCAUCACAGCGGUGGGCGUGCGGCUCCGCGGAGAAGUACCCCCGAGCAGCUAG